AUGCUUCUUCAACAAUAUUCAAAAAGUAGGAAGAGGUGUGCAGCCAACAAGAAGGUGAAAGCAGCCAAGAAAACAAUCGUGUUUCAUUGACAAAUGCAUAGCAUAGCACUACUGGUUCAUUUCUAAUAAGCUCAUUCCUUCAGCCAGGGAGGAAGGGAUAUGUCAGCAUGCAAAGGCUACAACUACUCCAUGAAGAUAGGAGGUGAUGGCAUAAAACAAUUCAAAGGUAUUCCACUGAGGCAGAUAAAUUUAAAUAUGGCCACAGGCAUAAGAAGAUUUGGAACGCAUGUCCAUUAAACUCACAAAUAGCUUGCCAGAUGGAGCAAAUGGAAAAAAACUCUCUUCCUGACAACUAUAAACGUUGCACAAAGAUUAAAAUAAUGAGAUUGAGCUGCUAGAUUGACUGUAGCAGGGUUCUGAGUUCCCAGUUUUCCAUUCAUCUGUUUGUGCCAACACAUGCCUCUUUAUCACUGUCUGAGGAACUUUACAGUGAAAGGAAUUAAAAGUGGAUAACCUGGGUUAUGAAGUUAAAAUAGCUAUGUCAGUAGUAAAUAUUACAAAUUAAGAUAGGUUAGUUAGCCAUAUCUUUGCUUAUGCUGUUGUGAACUUUCACUAGACAAAAAAAUUGUGAUGCUGAAAAGCAUAUCUUGGUGGAGUAUUAUUUUAUCCAGAUAGAAAUGAUGAAAUCACAUUUAAAACAGAAAACAUUUCAUUUAAAAUUUUUCAUUUGUUCAUUCUUUAGAAAUAAG